GGGGACGAAUGGUUUCGACAGCAGGUUGGAGGAUCGGGAGGAGCGGGUCGAGGAUGGAGAAUCCUCGUUAAUCCGGCUCCAAAAACAAUAAUCGUCAAUAACGAUUACGCACUCGCUGCUUAAGUAAGUAGCGCGCUCUCUAUAACUUCCGUCAUCGGGUUUUAGAAGAGCGACACAAAGAUGACUGGAACCUCUUCAACGCAUUCUGGUUGAGGUUCGAGACUCUAGGGAAAGCUGGGCAAUGUUUACCCCGUCUCUAGGGGAUACAAAGCCGAGAUUUAAAGUAGAGACUACACUCGUAGCGCCUCCUAGAUUGGCCCCUGUUGGACCGGAGUUCGAAUCUCCGCGUCUCCACCA
rnacentral:tmRNA from 1 species